rnacentral:rRNA from 1 species
UAGAGUUUGAUCCUGGCUCAGGACGAACGCUGGCGGCGUGCCUAAUACAUGCAAGUCGAGCGGACCGACGGGAGCUUGCUCCCUUAGGUCAGCGGCGGACGGGUGAGUAACACGUGGGUAACCUGCCUGUAAGACUGGGAUAACUCCGGGAAACCGGGGCUAAUACCGGAUGCUUGAUUGAACCGCAUGGUUCAAUCAUAAAAGGUGGCUUUUAGCUACCACUUACAGAUGGACCCGCGGCGCAUUAGCUAGUUGGUGAGGGAACGGCUCACCAAGGCGACGAUGCGUAGCCGACCUGAGAGGGUGAUCGGCCACACUGGGACUGAGACACGGCCCAGACUCCUACGGGAGGCAGCAGUAGGGAAUCUUCCGCAAUGGACGAAAGUCUGACGGAGCAACGCCGCGUGAGUGAUGAAGGUUUUCGGAUCGUAAAACUCUGUUGUUAGGGAAGAACAAGUACCGUUCGAAUAGGGCGGGACCUUGACGGGACCUAACCAGAAAGGCACGGGUAACUACGUGCCAGCAGCCGCGGUAAUACGUAGGUGGCAAGCGUUGUCCGGAAUUAUUGGGCGUAAAGCGCGCGCAGGCGGUUUCUUAAGUCUGAUGUGAAAGCCCCCGGCUCAACCGGGGAGGGUCAUUUGAGACUGGGGAACUUGAGUGCAGAAGAGGAGAGUGGAAUUCCACGUGUAGCGGUGAAAUGCGUAGAGAUGUGGAGGAACACCAGUGGCGAAGGCGACUCUCUGGUCUGUAACUGACGCUGAAGCGCGAAAGCGUGGGGAGCGAACAGGAUUAGAUACCCUGGUAGUCCACGCCGUAAACGAUGAGUGCUAAGUGUUAGAGGGUUUCCGCCCUUUAGUGCUGCAGCAAACGCAUUAAGCACUCCGCCUGGGGAGUACGGUCGCAAGACUG